rnacentral:ncRNA from 2 species
CUCUUAUCAAGAGCGGCGGAGGGACUGGCCCGAUGAAGCCCGGCAACCGGCACGUAUGUGCAAGGUGCUAAUUCCAGCAAAGCAGCAUGCUUUGGAAGAUGAGAG